GAUGAACGCUGGCGGCGUGCCUAAUACAUGCAAGUCGAACGCUGGAGCUCUAGCUUGCUAGAUCGAAGGAGUGGCGAACGGGUGAGUAAUACAUAAGCAACCUACCCACGAAGACUGGGAUAAUCUCUGGAAACGGGGACUAAUACCGGAUAGGUAAUCGGAAGGCAUCUUCUGGUUAUUAAAGGUUAAAAACACUGGUGGAUGGGCUUAUGGCGCAUUAGUUAGUUGGUGAGGUAACGGCCCACCAAGACGAUGAUGCGUAGCCGGCCUGAGAGGGUGAACGGCCACAUUGGGACUGAGACACGGCCCAGACUCCUACGGGAGGCAGCAGUAGGGAAUUUGCGGCAAUGGGGGCAACCCUGACCGAGCAACGCCGCGUGAGUGAAGACGGCCUUCGGGUUGUAAAGCUCUGUUGUAAGGGAAGAACGGUAGAUAGAGAAUAUCUAAGUGACGGUACCUUACCAGAAAGCCACGGCUAACUACGUG
rnacentral:rRNA from 1 species